UGCUAGCUUUUUCACUCACGUUUUCUACCGUACUCGGAUCCACUGUGCGCACGAAUCCUCCACCGUUGUCCGUGAAUUCUUCAUAGCUGCUCGUGAAUCCUCUAUGCAAGCGCGCGAAAAUCUUUCUCAAUAUUGCUACUCCUGCUUCCUCCUCUGAUUUAUUCCCCACUCUAAACCCUAGAUGGAGUCGUAUCCAACAUAAGGAGUGGAGAGGGCACGACACAGAGGCAUGGAGAGGGCUCGGCGAGCAGAGAGCGUGCGGCACGAAAGCUGAUGCAGGCGCAAGCUGACGACGCCGGCGAGGGCGUGAGAAGUCGUGGCUGCCGAUGAUAAACCAAUGAACCAAGCAACAAAUGGCUCCGCCACCAUAUUAGGACGGACCUGCUCCUGCAUAUCAGACCGGCUCUGCUCCUACUAUUGUUCCUACUUCAGGAGGUGAAUCAGCAUGGUGGACUAGCCCUCUGCCACAAGCCACACCUUCAGCAACCAUAUCCACAAAUUGAAUCGUUGAUAUGAGGUUGAUUGGCAUUUCCAGCAGGAUAUGACGGAGGUUGUUGGAUUAUAGAUGGCUUUUGGUGCUUCUUCCUCAACGGUUCAGCUAGUUGUCCAGUUUGCUUUUGUGGCCUGGAUAAACAUGUAUUGCUUGGGCCAUGGCUAUUAACUAGUUCAUCAUGUAGUAACGAAUGGACAUUUUAAUUUCCAGUUAUGUUUAAAACCUUUAGUUGGCUAUGCUACCGGUUGGUUAUUAUUUUUAGUUGGUUAUGUAACGUAUGGCCUGAGGUGUAGGCUACCUGUUGGUUAUCUUUGGUUGGUUAUGAAUCCUCCACACAAAGAGGCACAAAGAUGA